AUACGGAGGGUGCAAGCGUUACUCGGAAUCACUGGGCGUAAAGCGCGCGCAGGCGGCUUGAUAAGUUGGAUGUGAAAGCCUACGGCUCAACCGUAGAACUGCAUCCAAAGCUGUCAAGCUAGAGUCUGGGAGGGGAAGAUGGAAUUAGUUGUGUAGGGGUAAAAUCCGUAGAGAUAACUAGGAAUACCAAAAGCGAAGGCGAUCUUCUGGAACAGUACUGACGCUGAGGCGCGAAAGCGAGGGGAGCAAACAGGAUUAGAAACCCCGGUAGUCC
rnacentral:rRNA from 1 species